ACGGGAGGCAGCAGUGAGGAAUAUUGGUCAAUGGAUGGAAGUCUGAACCAGCCAUGCCGCGUGAGGGACGAAUGCCCUAUGGGUUGUAAACCUCUUUUGCCACAGAGUAAUAAGGGUCGUGCGCGGCCUGGUGAGAGUAUGUGGCGAAUAAGCAUCGGCUAACUCCGUGCCAGCAGCCGCGGUAAUACGGAGGAUGCAAGCGUUAUCCGGAUUUAUUGGGUUUAAAGGGUGCGUAGGCGGACCUUUAAGUCAGCGGUGAAAUAUCCCGGCUCAACCGGGAGGCUGCCGUUGAUACUGAGGGUCUUGAGUCCGAACGGGGCCGGCGGAAUAUGUAAUGUAGCGGUGAAAUGCAUAGAUAUUACAUAGAACACCGAUCGCGAAGGCAGCUGGCGAGGACGGCACUGACGCUGAGGCACGAAGGCGUGGGGAUCAAACAGGAUUAGAUACCCUGGUA
rnacentral:rRNA from 1 species